AGCUAACGCGUUAAGUCGACCGCCUGGGGAGUACGGCCGCAAGGUUAAAACUCAAAUGAAUUGACGGGGGCCCGCACAAGCGGUGGAGCAUGUGGUUUAAUUCGAUGCAACGCGAAGAACCUUACCAGGUCUUGACAUCCUCUGACAACCCUAGAGAUAGGGCUUCCCCUUCGGGGGCAGAGUGACAGGUGGUGCAUGGUUGUCGUCAGCUCGUGUCGUGAGAUGUUGGGUUAAGUCCCGCAACGAGCGCAACCCUUGAUCUUAGUUGCCAGCAUUCAGUUGGGCACUCUAAGGUGACUGCCGGUGACAAACCGGAGGAAGGUGGGGAUGACGUCAAAUCAUCAUGCCCCUUAUGACCUGGGCUACACACGUGCUACAAUGGGCAGAACAAAGGGCAGCGAAGCCGCGAGGCUAAGCCAAUCCCACAAAUCUGUUCUCAGUUCGGAUCGCAGUCUGCAACUCGACUGCGUGAAGCUGGAAUCGCUAGUAAUCGCGGAUCAGCAUGCCGCGGUGAAUACGUUCCCGGGCCUUGUACACACCGCCCGUCACACCACGAGAGUUUGUAACACCCGAAGUCGGUGAGGUAACCUUUUGGAGCCAGCCGCCGAAGGUGGGACAGAUGAUUGGG
rnacentral:rRNA from 1 species